rnacentral:lncRNA from 1 species
UUCCUUCUAAAGGCCGUAACUUUUGAUCCAGAGGUCAGAUUUAGGCAAAUUCUUUUUAUUUCAUAUAACUUUUCAAGAUUUACGCAAUUGCUAUGAUGAUUUUAUAAAAAAAAUAUUAUUUUAUCUCUCAAAUUGAUGUUUUAAAAAAAUUUAGUCGAUAUUUACAAACAAUUUUGAAUGAUUACGUGAACCUGUAAUAGUAAAAUCGAAUUUCAAACACAUC